rnacentral:rRNA from 1 species
GGAUCACAUUAUAAUUAUAGCUCCGGCGUUUAGGGAUGGGCGUGCGGCUGAUUAGAUAGUUGGUAGGGUAACGGCCUACCAAGUCAACGAUCAGUAGCUGAUGUGAGAGCAUGAUCAGCCACACGGGCACUGAGACACGGGCCCGACUCCUACGGGAGGCAGCAGUGAGGAAUAUUGGUCAAUGGACGCAAGUCUGAACCAGCCAUGCCGCGUGGAGGAUGAAGGUCCUCUGGAUUGUAAACUUCUUUAUUGGGGAAGAAACCCCGUUUUUCUAAGCGGGUUGACGGUACCCAACGAAUAAGCACCGGCUAACUCCGUGCCAGCAGCCGCGGUAAUACGGAGGGUGCAAGCGUUAUCCGGAUUCACUGGGUUUAAAGGGUGCGUAGGCGGGCUUUUAAGUCAGUGGUGAAAUCCCAGAGCUUAACUCUGGAACUGCCAUUGAUACUGAAUGUCUUGAAUAUCCUGGAGGUAGGCGGAAUAUGUCAUGUAGCGGUGAAAUGCUUAGAUAUGACAUAGAACACCAAUUGCGAAGGCAGCUUACUACGGGACGAUUGACGCUGAUGCACGAAAGCGUGGGGAUCAAACAGGAUUAGAUACCCUGGUAGUCCACGCCCUAAACUAUGGAUACUCGACAUUGGCGAUAUACAGUCAGUGUCUGAGCGAAAGCAUUAAGUAUCCCACCUGGGAAGUACGAUCGCAAGAUAGAAACUCAAAGAAAUUGGCGGGGGUCCGCACAAGCGGUGGAGUAUGUGGUUUAAUUCGAUGAUACGCGAGGAACCUUACCUGGGCUAGAAUGUUUCAUGACCGGUAGUGAAAGCUACUUUUCUAGCAAUAGACAUGUUGCAAGGUGCUGCAUGGCUGUCGUCAGCUCGUGCCGUGAGGUGUUGGGUUAGGUCCCACAACGAGCGCAACCCCUAUCUUUAGUUGCCAGCACGUAAUGGUGGGAACUCUAAAGAAACUGCCGUCGUAAGACGCGAGGAAGGAGGGGACGAUGUCAAGUCAUCAUGGCCUUUAUGCCCAGGGCUACACACGUACUACAAUGGGCGCUACAAAGGGUCGCUACCUGGCAACAGGAUGCUAAUCUCAAAAAAGCGCUCUCAGUUCGGAUUGGGGUCUGCAACUCGACCCCAUGAAGCUGGAAUCGCUAGUAAUCGUAUAUCAGCAAUGAUACGGUGAAUACGUUCCCGGACCUUGCACACACCGCCCGUCAAACCAUGGGAGCUGGGUGUACCUAAAGUCGGUAACCGCAAGGAGCCGCCUAGGGUAAAACUAGUGACUGGGGUUAAGUCGUAACAAGGUA